rnacentral:rRNA from 1 species
UACACAGUCGGUGGCUAAGCGAAAGUGAUAAGUAAUCCACCUGGGGAGUACGAUCGCAAGGUUGAAACUCAAAGGAAUUGACGGGGGCCCGCACAAGCGGAGGAGCAUGUGGUUUAAUUCGAUGAUACGCGAGGAACCUUACCUGGGCUUAAAUGUAGAUUGCAUGAAGGGGAAACCUUUCUUUUCUUCGGAACUAUUUACAAGGUGCUGCAUGGUUGUCGUCAGCUCGUGCCGUGAGGUGUCGGGUUAAGUCCCAUAACGAGCGCAACCCCUACCUUUAGUUGCCAUCAGGUCAUGCUGGGGACUCUAAAGGAACUGCCUACGCAAGUAGUGAGGAAGGUGGGGAUGACGUCAAAUCAGCACGGCCCUUACGUCCAGGGCUACACACGUGCUACAAUGGUCGGUACAGAGAGCAGCUAACCCGUGAGGGUGUGCGAAUCUUCAAAGCCGAUCUCAGUUCGGAUCGAAGUCUGAAACUCGACUUCGUGAAGUUGGAUUCGCUAGUAAUCGCAUAUCAGCCAUGAUGCGGUGAAUACGUUCCCGGGCCUUGUACACACCGCCCGUCAAACAAUGGAAGUUUGGGGUACCUGAAGUUCGUAACCGUAAGGAUCGACCUAGGGUAAAACGAAUAACUGGUGUUAAGUCGUAACAAGGUAGCCG